UACGUAGGGCGCAAGCGUUGUCCGGAAUUAUUGGGCGUAAAGAGCUCGUAGGCGGCUUGUCGCGUCGACCGUGAAAACUCGCAGCUCAACUGCGAGCCUGCGGUCGAUACGGGCAGGCUAGAGUUCGGUAGGGGAGACUGGAAUUCCUGGUGUAGCGGUGAAAUGCGCAGAUAUCAGGAGGAACACCGAUGGCGAAGGCAGGUCUCUGGGCCGAUACUGACGCUGAGGAGCGAAAGCGUGGGGAGCGAACAGG
rnacentral:rRNA from 1 species